GUUUCAGGAUGCAAGCUCGAGGCUUCUUGAUCCUAUGUGUUGUAUUGAGUGUUGGUCACUGGUCUUUGGGAAGCUUGGACAGAAGUGGGGCAGCCAUGGAGCUGCUGACUGGGACUGGCCUGUGGCCCGUGGUCAUAGUCACAGUCAUCUUCAUAUUACUGGUGGACAUGUUGCACCGGUGCCAGCGCUGGACUUCUUGCUGCCCACCAGACCCUGUGCCAUGGCCUGUGCUGGGUAACCUGCUGCAGGUGGACCUGGAUAACAUGCCAUAUAACUUGUACAAGGUGUGGUCCUUGCUCCUUAUGGGCCUGAGUGGAAAGAGCAGAGGUGAUUCUCUGCGUCGACCCUGUGCAACUUCAGCCUGGGCAAGAAAUCACUGGAGCAGUGGGUGAUGGAAGAGGUUGGACACCUCUUUGAUGUCUUCACUGCCCAUGCUGGGAGUCCCCUCAAUCCUUACCCUCUCUUGGACAAAGCCGUGUGCAAUGUGAUUGUGUCUCUCAUUUAUGCCCAUCGCUUCGAGUAUGGAGACCCUGACUUCAUCAAGAUGCUAAAAAGGAGGCUGUAGACAAGAGAUUUGGAAAGAACACAUCUAGAAGUGUCCACCACAGUAAUAGGAGCCUGGAGAUUGACAUACAGCAAAAGGAAGUGAGAAGCUGACCAAGGUCAGGGCUUCUAGAAGCUGAGACCCUGGCCCUCUGCCCACAUGGAACAUCUGUGAGAUUUUCCAGGGUUGGCUGACAAAGUCUUCCCUGGGCAAAAGACAUUUCUCAUAAUGGUGGAUAAGCUGGUGACUGAGCACAAGAGGACCUGGAACUCGGACCAGCCGCCUCGAGACCUGACUGAUGCCUUUAUGGCUGAGAUGGAGAAGGCAAAGGGAAACCCUGAGAGUAGCUUCAAUGAUGCAAAUCUAUGUCUGGUUGUCCUUGACCUGCUGGGUGCUGCAACUGUGACCACCUCAACCACACUGUCCUGGGCCCUGCUGCUUAUGAUCCUGCAUCCGGAUGUGCAGUGCCAAGUACAACAGGAAAUCGAUGAGGUCAUUUGGUAUGUGUGGCUUCCAGAGAUGGCAGACCAGGUCUGCAUGCCCUUCACCAAUGCUGUCAUUCAUGAGGUACAGUGCUUACAGUUACUGGGAUAUCAUCCCAAUAACUUUGCCACACAGGACUUCUCGUGACAUUGAAGUGUGGGGCUUUCUUAUCCCUAAGGUAGGUCUGGGUCUCUCCAGUGUCUAGUCAGUGUUGCCAGCUACCCGCUGACUUGAUCUGCCCAGUUAAGAAGGACUAGAUUACAGGCAUUCCAAUUCUCAACUCAAGGGAACCAACAUCCCCUGGGUAAAUAUGGGAAUAGAAACAAGAGCAAUAACUGCUUUAGAAUCCCUACCUAGAAAUGCAGGCAAGGUAAAAUAUGGCAGGAGUGGUUGUAACAGCCACUACCUACAAAUACAGGUCACAGUGUGUACAUCUGUCCCAUCACAUUUCCAUGUCACAGUAUUAAUGAAAUCUGUGAAGCUUCUGUGGUUAGUUUAUAUGACAGCAUCCAGUGUGUGUGUGGUACAGGCUGUGCCUGUGAAUGUCGUGACUAGUAAGGGUCUAGUAAAACUCACCCUGUUCAUGUUCACACAAUGUGCUUCAUGCCAGGGCAUGACUCUCAUCUCCAACCUGUUCCGUGCUGAAGGAUGAGACUGUCUGGGAGAAGCCCCUUCGCUUCCAUCCUGAACACUUCCUGGAUGCCCAGGGCCACUUUGUGAAGCCUGAGGCCUUCAUGCCAUUCUCAGCAGGUGCCUCUAGGGUGCCUUCCUGCCUAUCUUUCCCUAGGGUGCCUUGGAGGGUGGAGCACCAAUCAGGUCCCAGACUGAGCCCUCUUCUACACAUAGGCCACAGAUCAUGCCUGGGGGAGCCCCUGGCCCUCAUGGAGCUCUUCCUCUUCUUCACCUGCCUCCUGCAGCGCUUUAGCUUCUCAAUGCCAGCUGGACAAUCCCUUCCCAGUGAUUAUGGCAUCUAUACAAUGCCAGUUACUCCAGCACCUACCAGCUCUGUGCAGUGGUUUGCUAGCAGGGGCAGUGGCUCCAGCCAUCAUCACAGAUUGUUCUGACUGAUGUCCAAUAAACAAGUUUUGUGUCUGAA
rnacentral:lncRNA from 1 species